rnacentral:lncRNA from 1 species
GUAGGAUCAAAGAAUAGAAGGGGAAAAAAUGAGGAGUGGAAAAGCUCGAUUUAACCUUUAAGUACAGAUAACUAUCAGGGUACGAAAAGGCAAGAAAACAUGACAAAAUGAAAGGAUUAUUGAUGGGCAAUAAAGGAAGCGUAGUAGGUUUACCUUGAGAUUUCACUGAGCUAAUAUACUGGCUCCCAUUUCUAUGUUUAUUGUAGGAAAAAGAGAAAAACACUAAUCCAGGGAUAGAGCUGACUAGGGAUGCCCAAGUCAAAAAGACUUUGUAGCACUGGGCUUGGCAGAGGGUCCUGAAGCUAAAUGCAGAAGACUGCGGGAAAUGUCUUCAACUGGGGCUAAAGGUCGUAAGCAAGGACAAUGAACCUGGAAUUUGGAGGAAUUCAUACUCCAGUGAAGAAUUUCCAGACCCCUCAUGAGAAUAGCAGAUUGCCUACUCACCAGAGAAUACUCAAGCUGAUACUAAGCAGCCCCUGGAGAGUAAGCAAAUGAUUAGAAGGGUAGAUUUCAGGCAAGCAAAAGGGUGAGAGCCCAGAAUCUCCAUGUGAAUGACCCUAAAAUUACAGCUAAUAUAGGAAGUGGCUUCCUUGUACCUCUAGAAAUUGAACUCUCAGAACCUGACUGACAGUCUGCUCUUAAGAACAUUACCUCAAUCUGGAGAGAAAUGUGUGUUUCUUCUCCUAUAUGGAUUUCAGACAGAAGCAGAAGGAGGGAUACCACUUUGGAUUCAUGUCAACGUCUUAAUAGGGGAAGUAAAGCAGUUUAUACGCCUCAGAGCACGGGUCCUCAAACCAGAAAAUCAGCGUGAAGGGGAGAAGGCCAGCCCUGCCUUGGACCGAUGGAAGCCACAUAGUCACGGACUCUUCUGGUGAGGACCAGAUGGCACAAUUUGCAGAGGGCAGGUUUAAUGUUGCUACCAUUUAGACUGGAAGGAAAACAUCUUUGAAGAAACA